rnacentral:misc_RNA from 1 species
UUGAAUUAAAUUGAGUGUGGGUUGUAGCUGGUCUCUUCACUGGGACAUGUGCACGCCUGACUCAUUUUCCAACCAAUAAACCUCUGUGCACUUCUCAUGGGUCGGAUAGAGUAGCUUUUUUCAUUAAAGGCGAAAUGUCUGUCCUGUGUGUUUUGAACCACAAACAAGUCUGUUAUAGAAUGUCAUCAUAUUGUGCAUUAAUGCAUAAAAUA